CCUACGGGUGGCAGCAGUGAGGAAUAUUGGUCAAUGGUCGCGAGACUGAACCAGCCAAGUCGCGUGAGGGAUGACGGCCCUACGGGUUGUAAACCUCUUUUGCCGGGGAGCAAAGGGCGCCACGUGUGGCGUCACUGAGAGUCCCCGGGGAAAAGGCAUCGGCUAACUCCGUGCCAGCAGCCGCGGUAAGACGUAGGAUGCGAGCUUUAGCCGGAUUUUUUGGGUUUAAGGGAGGCGUAGGCGGAUCGUUAAGUCGGUGUGCAACGUGAUGGGCUCAACAGCUCCCCGCGAUGGAAACUGGCGUGCUUGAGUGGAAGAGACGUAUGCGGAAUGCGUGGUGUAGCGGUGAAAUGCAUAGAUAUCACGAAGAACACCGAUUGCGAAGGCAGCAUGCCGGCGUCCGACUGACGCUGAAGCACGAAGGCGCGGGGAUCGAACAGGAUUAGAUACCCGUGUAGUC
rnacentral:rRNA from 1 species